rnacentral:rRNA from 1 species
UACGAACUGUGCAAACGUUAUUCGGAAUCACUGGGCUUACAGGGUGCGUAGGCGGCCUGACAAGUAGGGUGUGAAAGCCCCCGGCUUAACCGGGGAAUGGCGCCCUAAACUGUCGGGCUGGAGUGAGAUAGGGGUGUGCGGAACUUCCGGUGGAGCGGUGAAAUGUGUUGAUAUCGGAAGGAACACCGGUGGCGAAAGCGGCACACUGGAUCUCAACUGACGCUGAGGCACGAAAGCCAGGGGAGCGAACGGG